CGUGUGAGCUCGGGGAGGUCCCCGAGGUGCUGGAGCGAGUGCGGAGCCCGAGCAGCCCCCGCGGCCUCCCGACCAACCGGGCCGACGAUGACGACAACUCCAGAAAUAACAGCAGCCCAACCCUGAAAUUAGGCUGUUGAGAAGAUUGAAGCACUUCCCUUUCCCUCCCUGGGUCAGCACCGGCGCACCCACCCGCACGGCAUCCGGCUUCUCCGGGAGCAGCCCCAGCCUGGACGGCGCAGCCAAGGUUGAUGGUCCCCUGGUCAGCGGCACCCUGGGGAGAAGAUGGCUCAGCCUGCACCCCUGAACCAGAACCUGCCAGAUCUCGGGGGGCCAUUCUUGUACCGGGACCAGGACGAUGGGGAGAAGAGCUCAUAUUCAGUGGAAACCCCCUACGGCUUCCUCCUGGACCUGGAUUUCCUGAAAUACGUUGAUGACAUCGAAAGCGGCCAGACGCUCAAGAAAGUGCCGCUGCCUCGCAGAGCAAG